GUAUCUUUUCCCCAGUACUUAUUGGGGGAGAUUUGGGGCGUCUCUUCUGAGUGCCCUUAAAGCUAUAGCUUGACACUGAACGAGUGCGAGAGCGUAUGUAUUUGAAGCUCGUAGAGUACCUGUACGAAACUCUUGCGCAAGCUCGCGCUGGGCCAAGUCCACCACGGAGGUUGAAAAACCCGAA
rnacentral:misc_RNA from 2 species